rnacentral:rRNA from 1 species
CCUACGGGAGGCAGCAGUGGGGAAUAUUGCACAAUGGGGGAAACCCUGAUGCAGCGACGCCGCGUGAGUGAAGAAGUAUCUCUGUAUGUAAAGCUCUAUCAGCAGGGAAGAAAAUGACGGUACCUGACUAAGAAGCCCCGGCUAACUCCGUGCCAGCAGCCGCGGUCAUACGUAGGGGGCAAGCGUUAUCCGGAUUUACUGGGUGUAAAGGGAGCGUAGACGGCGCUGCAAGUCCGGAGUGAAAGCCCAGGGCUUAACCAUGGGACUGCUCUGGAAACUGUGGAGCUUGAGUGCGGGAGGGGCAGGCGGAAUUCCUGGUGUAGCGGUGAAAUGCGUAGAUAUUAGGCGGAACACCGGCGGCGAAGGCGGCCUGCUGGACCGUAACUGACGUUGAGGCUCGAAAGCGUGGGGAGCAAACAGGAUUAGAUACCCGAGUAGUC